UAUAUUAAUUAGAUCUAUAGUUAUUUUUUUCUACAUGCUCAACGGACUUAUAUGGAGGAUCAAUUGGUGUAGUAACUGAUUACUAAAAGCAUCUACAUCAGAUUGUUUGAGCUUGGAUGCAAGAUUUUGGACGAAACGGCGUUUGAUUUUGUACGAGCAUGAGCCGCAAGAAAGGUACAGACGCCGGUGAUCCACCACUGUAGGCUCCACGUCCUGCUAUUACAGAGUGCUCCUUUUGAUUCGGAGCCCAUAUAUCGGCAGAUAUCUUUUGGGAUGUGUAUGUAUCUGUAUAUUCGACUAUUUGGGGUACGGCGGGGCCCUGUCCCGUCAUAUGUUUUCGUUUUGUAUAUGUAGAGGCCUGUAGUCAUAUAUGUGGGUCGAGGGUCCUAUAUGUGUCUGUUUGAUUACGAUCUGUGUCUUAAUGCGGUCCGUCUGUUAUGGUGGCCAAAAUGGCCCUUAUGUUUAUAUUUGUACACAUGAUCGGCGAUGUGCAUUCCGCCGCUUCUAUCUGUUCCGUUAUGAUAUUUUGGUAUGCACGACCGCUUAAGACAAGUUUUGAUUUAAAUUAUGUUUAAAAUAACUAUUGUGAACUCUGAGCUAAGUUGGAUAUGAUAAUUGGAUAUGUAAGUCUGUCUGGGUGCCCAAGUAGGGUGCCAGUCAUGGCCCACGGGGCUGGGUCGUGACAAAAGUGGUAUCAGAGCGGUUUGU